UACGUAGGGUGCAAGCGUUGUCCGGAAUUAUUGGGCGUAAAGAGCUCGUAGGCGGUUUGUCGCGUCUGCUGUGAAAACCCGAGGCUCAACCUCGGGCCUGCAGUGGGUACGGGCAGACUAGAGUCCGGAAGAGGAGAAUGGAAUUCCCGGUGUAGCGGUGAAAUGCGCAGAUAUCGGGAAGAACACCCGUGGCGAAGGCGGUUCUCUGGGACGGUACUGACGCUGAGACGCGAAAGCGUGGGGAGCAAACAGG
rnacentral:rRNA from 1 species